rnacentral:sRNA from 1 species
UUGGUGCGAAGGGCUUUGGAAGGGGUGGAGGAGGAGGCUCCUGGGCAGAGUCAGUCUUUCUGUGGUUGCUGAUACCCUCCUUGUGCCAGGCCAGGGGCCAAGCUGUAGGGGCACAGAGAUAGCAUCUAACAUGAUCAACACUCUGGUGGACAAGACAGAUUAUGAAAUAAGCAAGUUCACAUCAGGGCGGGAGGUGCUUGCAGCAGCAGAUUUGGGCCUUGGUUGUUUCAGGACUAACUUAAAUGUGGUGAGGGUGAGUCGGGGAAAGGGUGCUUAGAGUUCAGGAGGAAACCAGGAAUAGUCUCCAGGAGCCAAGAAAGCCAAGAUUCUAUAGAGGGCUGGUCAGCUGUGACAGUGGAAGGUAGAGUAGGGCUAGGCUGGGUUCUAGACCUAUCAGGUGAUGGUGGCCCUCCGUCUCCCCUUCACUGCCUUAUACCACUUCAGAGUCCCUGGCACCUGGAGAAUCUGCCACUGCUGUAAUGGGCAUUAAUUUCUGUGACUCAACCCAGGCAGCCAACUUCCAGCUGUGCACCCAGACCCGACAGUUCUACGUCUCCAUUCAGCCACCUGUUGGGGAGCUGAUGGCCCCUGUGUUUAUGAGUGAAAAUGAGUUUAAGAAGGAACAGGGAAAGCUGAUGGGCAUGAAUGAGAUCACAGAGAAACUCAUGCUGCCAGACACCUGUCGGAGUGACCACAUUGUGGUGCAGAAAGUGACUGCCACUGCCAACCUGGGUCGUGUUCCUUGUGGGACAUCCGAUGAGUACAGGUUUGCAGGGAGGACACUGACCGGUGGAAGCCUCGUUCUGCUGACCCUGGAUGCCCGGCCAGCUGGAGCUGCCCAGCUGACUGUCAACAGCGAGAAAAUGGUGAUUGGCACCAUGCUGGUAAAGGAUGUGAUACAGGCUCUGACCCAGUGACUUCCAAAUGCUGUGACCUCUUUGGCUCCCAUCUAUACCUCCCCAUGACAUCUGGGCUGUCAGUCCCUCUCAUCUUUCUCUCUCUCUCAUCCUCCUCCUCAUGCCAGAUAGCAUUCAGGGUGCCCUCUCUCCCUCUGGAGGACCAAGCCCUCCCCUAAUGCCCUCCCCAUGCAUUCCUUAGUGAUCUCUGCAGAGGGAGAUGGCAGCCACUCCCUUCAGUCCUCCCAGAUUUCUGUAGCUAUUUAUGUAGCAGGCUCAAUAAAAUGUCUUCUC